rnacentral:rRNA from 1 species
CGCAGCCGCGGUAAUUCCAGCUCCAAUAGCGUAUAUUAAAGUUGUUGCAGUUAAAAAGCUCGUAGUUGAAUUUCGGGAUCAGUACGCUGGUCAUGCCUUUGGUAUGCACUGGUGUCACUGGUUUCUCCCUUCUGAAGAACCGUGAUGUCAUUAAUUUGGUGUCGCGGGGAAUCAGGACUGUUACUUUGAAAAAUUAGAGUGUUUAAAGCAGGCUCGCGCUUGAAUACAUUAGCAUGGAAUAAUGAAAUAGGACGUUUGACCCUAUUUUGUUGGUUUCUAGGAUCGACGUAAUGAUUAAUAGGGAUAGUUGGGGGCAUUAGUAUUCAAUUGUCAGAGUGAAAUUCUUGGAUUUAUUGAAGACUAACUACUGCGAAAGCAUUUGCCAAGGAUGUUUUCAUUAAUCAAGAACGAAAGCUAGGGGAUCGAAGACGAUCAGAUACCGUCGUAG